AAAAGUGCAAACAACAGACUCACUCACCAUUCACAUCUCACGCCUCCCCUAUUUCCCACCGCUCACAAGCGGUUGAAAUCAGAAAUCACCCCAAAUCCCUAAUCAUUGAACGUUGUCCACCUCGCAAUCACUAUCAUUGAACGUCGGAUACCUCGCUUGAGUUGAGCACGCGUUGCUGUUUUCGAACACCAGCUGUGUUGCCUCGCCUCACUCAACGCACUUCAUUGUCAUCAAACCCCGACAACCCGCUGCAUCACUGGCUUGCGAAGCACAUCAUACACAGUUGUCUUGCACAUCACUCAACGCACUUCAUUGUCAUCAAACCCCAAAAGCCCGCUGUAUCACUGGCUUGUGAAGCACAUCAUACAUAGUUGUCUUGUCCAUUCUUUUCAUUGUUGGUCACUAUUAAUACCAAAGGUGAGCACAGAAAUUUCCAACAAAUCAAUUUUAGAUUUUCAAUGAAUUAGUAUGUAUAAGCAUAAAUGCAUAAAUACAGUUUGUGCUUUAUUAAUUACUUUAAUUUCAUAUUUACUUUAAUUAUUUUAAUUAAGUUUUUGGUUUAAUUACUUAAAUUAAAUGCAUUAAUUUUCAAUAUAAUGUAAAUGUUUAAUCUUCUUUUUUUCACACAUGCUAACUCACUUAAUGAAUUAUUUUUGUUAGGUUUUGGGAUUAGUUAAACAUGGCUGAAGAGGAACAAAGAAAUAAUUUUAUAUUCUCUCCAAAUAUUGUUAAUAAUGUAGAUGAUAGAUUGGAGGAUGUCCACGAACCUAAAAAUGACAAUUUUGUUGGAGUUGAACUGGAUUUAAUAGUUGUAAAAAGUGGUUGUGGCCGUGGUAGCUGUGGUCGUGGUCGUGCAUGUGGUGUUAAACAAAAAAGAGGUCAUGGCAAUAAAGUUCUAGCAGAAGGAUCUACAUCAGGACAAUCUAGUGGUGGUAGGCUAACUUCUGAUGUAUGAAAUCAUUUCAAGAGGUACAAAGAUUAGGAUGGGGAGUUUCAGGUAGUUUGCAAAUUGUAGUAAAGUAUUGACAUGACAUUGUUCUAGUGGGACUAUACACUUAAAAAAUCAUUUUACUAGUUGUUUGGGAAAGAAUUUUAAAGAUUUUGGCCAAAUGCUUCUUGCCAAGAAAAACAUGAUGGAUCUGUUACAGUUAAAAGUUGUUUUAAAGUAAAAUGUGAUAUGGCGAUGUUGAGGAUUACUAUUGCAAGAAUGAUCAUCUUGCAUGAGCUUCCACUUUCAUUUGUUGAAUAACAAGGGUUUCGUGAUUUGAUGAGGUUGGUUCAACCCGCACUUGAUCCAAUAAUAGAAACAUCAUCAAGAAUAAAAUUUUGAAGCUUUAUGAUGUUGAGAGGUCGAAACAAUAAAUUCUGUUAGUUGCUUAUAAGAGUAGGAUUGCAAUCACUACAAACAUGUGGACGACUAGUAACCUUAAAAAGUUUUAUAUGUUUAUUACAGUGCAUUAUAUUGACAACCUAUGGGUGUUACAGAGUUGCAUUAUAGGUAACACUUUUAAUAUUUAUAUUAUGAUUAUUUUAAUGAUUUUAAUGGUUAUGCUUAUUUAUAUUAUGCUUAUUUAUUUUAUGCUUGUUUUAAUGAUUUUAAUUAUAUUGUUCUUUUUUAAUUUUUUCUUUUGCGUUAUUAGGUUUAUAUAUGUGCCAACUCCACAUAGUGGUGGAAUAAUAAGUAAUGUUCUAUAUAAUUUUUUGAUGGAUUGGAAUAUUGAUAGGAAAGUGUCAACUAUGAUUGUGGAUAAUUGUGCUGGUAAUGAUGCGAUUAUUGGAUAAAUUUUCACCAAGUUCAAUGAUUUUAGGCAAGAUAAUUUUUCAAAUAUGUUGUUGUGCUCAUAUCUUGAAUUUGAUUGUGAGAGAUGAGAUGUCUAUUAUGGAGAAAGUUGUUGAAAAUAUAAGAGAUAGUGUCAGUUAUUGGACUGCUAUACCUAGAAGAGUUGAAAAUUUUGAGGCUGCAAUGCACCGAAUAGGUAUUAAAAAGUCCAAACAUUUGGUUUUCGAUUGUAAGACUUGAUAGAAUUUAACUUACUUAAUGUUUACUAUUGCUUUGCUGCACAAAGAUGUAUUUGUUUGAUUGAGUAAGCUUAAUAAAUGGUAUAAAUGUUUCCCUAAUGAGUCGGAGUGGGAUUUGGCAAAAGUUUUGCGUGACUAUUUGGAUUUGUUUUGUAUGUUAACAAAAAUUAUUUUUGGAUCUCGAUAUCCCACUUCUAACUUAUUUUUUUCCCAAAAUUUAUGAGAUUAUAUUAUCAAUGAUUUCAUGGAAGGUGUCACCCAAUGUGGGGAUUAGGCAAAUGGUUGAGAAUAUGAUUGCUAAGCGUAAGAAGUAUUGAGAUGUUAUUUAUGAAGUGUUGGCUAUAGGGAAUAUCUUAGAUCCUAUGUUUAAGAAGAUGAUGGUUGAUGACUCUAUGAAAUGAAAGUUAUCAUGGCAUUUUUAGAUUUAAACUAAUAUUACUUAGAGAAUAAAUUAUGUGUUUUUAUUACAUUUUUAGUUACACUUUGCAUGAGUAUCUAUUUUAGUUUAAUUUUAAUAAAUUGAUUGUCUUUUAGAUCACUUUGUGCUCUGAUCAUGUGUAUGAUUUGUAGGUGACCAAAAAGUUCAAACUUUAUGGAUGAAAUGUUACUGCAGCAAACUUGUAGAAAUAACAAAGAACUUGUCUGCAGAUGAACUAAAACAAGUUUGAAUCAAAGAAGAUGUUGUAGCAAUUGCUACAGCAAUCUAGAAGCAAAUACAGAUAAGACUACCCACGUGUUAACUAACAAAAUAGAGACAGACAGCAUAAAAAGAUAUGCAAUCCGAGGUUCCCAAAAAAAAAAAAAAAAAAACAUGUGGCUAGUGGCUACAUGCUUUUGGUUGCCCUAAUUCCAAGAUAUAAAAAAAGCACACAUGAAAAAAGAAAAAAGAGUCGUCACAAAAAGAAAUAACAGAGAGAAAAAGAAGAGAAUAAGAGAUAGUUGAGGACUGCAGUAAGGAAUUUCUGAGAAAAAGAAGAAGAGAUCACACAAACCUAAUAGAGGGACGUAUUGUAUUAGCGGAACUCAAUUUCUCUUCUUUAUUUGCUCAUUUUCUUCUCUCUAUGGGAAUGUAUUUGAUGGCAAAAACGAGUAUUGUUACUGUUUUAUUGUUUAUCAUAAACUAGACUUCGAUGUAGUUGAGUGUUAAAUAAGCUUAAUAGUUAUCUGACUUUUAUAUGUGUGUUGCUUAGAAUCUGCUGUAGUAUUUUGUCCUGAUUUUACUUAUUGCAAAUCUUUAUUUCGGUUGAUUACCCAUUUAGUAGAUACUAACUAAGAAGGAGCCUAAAAAAUGUCCGACUUAGUGGAACAGAUCAAGAUAAUACAUGAUUUUAGAUUAGGUUUCUUAAGUUGAGUUAAUCUGGAUUUGAAUAGGGUCAUACUUAAUAUAAGAUUAAUGAAGAACUAGACAUAGAGAUUCAUCUUGUAGAGCAAUUGGAAUCUAGAACGCAUAAUGUUAUAUCUAAUGUUAGCAUAAUAGCUGGUCACUGUUAGGUUGCAUAUAGAUAUACGAAAUCUAAUAUGCGAUAGCUGAGGAUACAUGAGAGAUUCUGCCCAAGGCUGUAGCGGAUGUUGUAGCAACAAUACCGUAAUUAAAAAAUAAUCAAUCCCAUUAAGUAAGUUUAAG
rnacentral:lncRNA from 1 species